rnacentral:rRNA from 1 species
CGAACGCUGGCGGCGUGCUUAACACAUGCAAGUCGAACGAUGAAGUUCCUUCGGGAAUGGAUUAGUGGCGAACGGGUGAGAAACACGUGAGAAACCUGCCUUUCAUUUUGGGAUAACUCCGGGAAACCGGAGCUAACACCGAAUACUCCGUCUCGGCGGCAUCGCUGAGCCGGGAAAAAUUUUGAUGAAAGAUGGUCUCGCGGCCUAUCAGCUAGUUGGUGAGGUAAUGGCUCACCAAGGCGACGACGGGUAGCCGGCCUGAGAGGGCGACCGGCCACACUGGGACUGAGACACGGCCCAGACUCCUACGGGAGGCAGCAGUGGGGAAUAUUGGGCAAUGGAGGAAACUCUGACCCAGCGACGCCGCGUGCGGGAUGAAGGCCUUCGGUUGUAAACCGCUUUCAGUAGGGAAGAAGCGAAAGUGACGGUACCUACAAAGGAAGCACCGGCUAACUAUGCGCCAGCAGC